AUUGAACGCUGGCGGCAGGCCUAACACAUGCAAGUCGAGCGGAUGAAGGGAGCUUGCUCCUGGAUUCAGCGGCGGACGGGUGAGUAAUGCCUAGGAAUCUGCCUGGUAGUGGGGGAUAACGUCCGGAAACGGGCGCUAAUACCGCAUACGUCCUGAGGGAGAAAGUGGGGGAUCUUCGGACCUCACGCUAUCAGAUGAGCCCAGGUCGGAUUAGCUAGUUGGUGGGGUAAAGGCCUACCAAGGCGACGAUCCGUAACUGGUCUGAGAGGAUGAUCAGUCACACUGGAACUGAGACACGGUCCAGACUCCUACGGGAGGCAGCAGUGGGGAAUAUUGGACAAUGGGCGAAAGCCUGAUCCAGCCAUGCCGCGUGUGUGAAGAAGGUCUUCGGAUUGUAAAGCACUUUAAGUUGGGAGGAAGGGCAGUAAGUUAAUACCUUGCUGUUUUGACGCUACCAACAGAAUAAGCACCGGCUAACUUCGUG
rnacentral:rRNA from 1 species